ACAGCUUUGGACAAAGUCUAUAGCCAGAGCAUUUCUAACUCCUCAUGCACAAGGUCUGACUGUGGAGACAGAAGACAUUUUGUUCAUUUGCUCUGCUCUUUCUCAUAGUUUACCUUCUCUCAGGUACCUGUGCCUAUCAAUAUUGUUUCACCUGUUUGGCUACAGUUUCUGGGAAAGUCCCUGGACUUGGGAGCAGUUGUAGGCCUUACAAA